GUCUUGGUAGCUCAGUUGGCAGAGCGAUGGACUAGUGAUCCUGAGUCGUGAGUUCGAGCCUCGCCUGAGACA